GGGGCUGUAGCUCAGUUGGCUAGAGCACCUGCUUUGCAAGCAGGGGGUCGCGGGUUCGAUUCCCGCCAGCUCCACAA
rnacentral:tRNA from 3 species